rnacentral:miRNA from 1 species
UUUUCCCUGGGUUUUGAAUUUGCAGUAACAGGUGUGAACAUUCUAGCAGCAGUUUGAUGAUCAUGUAUGAUACUGCAAACAGG